ensembl:lncRNA
AUAAAGUUAGUGACAGUGAUAAAGUUAAAGAUAGUGAUAAAGUUAGCGACAGUGAAGAGUAUUGUGAUGUUAGUAAGUCCAAAGGUAUAAUGACUGAGAGUAGUCUGAAUGAAAAAAGUGUCACAGGAGAAGAUAAAAAAGAAGUACAUCCACCAAUAAAUACAAAAGACUAUAACAAAAAAAGUAUUGAUAAUGUCUAUAAAGAUAAGGAUAAAAAUUAUACAGACAUAAAAAGGGAGAUGAAAAAAAAAACAAAAAGAGAGAUGAAAAGGGAGACAAAAAGGGAGACAAAAAGGGAGAUAAAAAAAAAAACAAAAAAGAAGACGAAAAAGGAAACGGAAAAAGAGACGGAAAAGGAGGAAAAUGGAAAAGGGAUGAGUAUAGUAAGUAACAAUGUAUCCAGUGAUAGUACACACACUCGCGCUUUGGUUACAACGAACAAACCAAAUAAUGUUGAUGAAGAAGUAACCGCACAAAAUAACUUAUUAAAAACUAAAUUAAAAAGUUUAAAAAAAAAAAUUGUAAAUUAUAAAAAUAUAGAAAAAAAAUAUAAUCAAAAUAAAAAAAAAUAUAAAAAUAAUUUAGUAACUAUUUGUGAAUAUGAAAAAAAAAUUGAUUACAUUAUAAAUGAUUUUAACAAAUUAAAAGAAAUUGUUACAAGUAAAGAUAAAAAACUUACAAAAUAUGAAGAAAUAACAAAAUAUAUAAAUGAACAAUUUAAUGUUAGUAAAAUACAAUUUGAAAAUAAAAUGAAUGAGUAUGUUGUAUUUUUAAAGAAAAAAGAUUCAGAGAUAUAUAUGUUGAAAGAGUUAAUUAAGGAAAAAGAAAAAAUAAUAUGUUUUAAUGAAAACAUAUUAAAACAGUAUAAAACGGAUAUAGAUGAUACAUUAAAGCAACAUGUAGAACGAGUGGAACAGAUAAAAAAAAAACUAAGUACACAACAGAAUACACUACUACAAAAAGAUACAAAAAUUAGUCAGUUAGAAGAAACUAUACAAAAUGAUAAUAAAAAAAUGACAAAAAUAGAAAACGAAAUAAAAACAUUACAAUACGAUCUUGAAUUAGAGAUAGAAAAAAAAAAAGAAUUAAAAAAAAAUUAUGAAAAAGAAAAAGAUAAAAAUCAAAAACUGAAUAUUAAAUUGGAAGAAAUAAAAAAAGAAAAAAGUGAUAUACAAUAUAAAGUUGAUAAUUUAUUAAAAAAUGAAAAAAUUAUUAUUAAUGAUAAAGAUAUGUUACUUGAAUGUAAACAAACACUUAGUACAGAAAAUGAAAAUAUGAAACAUAAAAUUACUAUUUUACAAAAUGAAAAAGAUGAAAUAAGAAAAAAAUUUGAGUUUAUAAAUUCAGAAGAAAAUAAAAUAAAAGAAAAACUACAGUUGAUUGAAAAAGAAAAUGAAGAAUACAUAAAUGAAAUAAAUAAAUUACACAAUGAAGUAACUAGCUUAGAAAAACAAAAUAACGAACUAAAUGAAAAAAACAAAACAAAUGAAACAAAAUAUAAAAGCGAACUAGAAAAAAAUACACACAUAGAAAAAAUGUUAGAAGACACAAAAAAGGAAUACUUAUUACAGUUGAAUCAAAAAGAGUCAAUACAAAAUGAACUAACCGAGUUACAAAAUAGAAAAGAACAAGAAAUGAUAGAAAAUAAGGAAAAAAUAAAAAGUGUAAACGAAGAUAUAAAAGAGUUAGAAGAAAAACUAACUGAAAUAAAUAAAUUAUAUACAAAGGAAAAAGAAAUGAUUGAAAAUUUAACGAAAGAAAAAAAACAAUUUAUUAAAGAAUGUAAAAAAUUGAAAAAUAAAAAUAAAAAAAUUGAUUCUCAGCUAAAAGAAGAAAAAAAUAAUUAUAAAAAAAAUAUAAAUAAUAUUAUAAAAGAAAAAGAACAAGUAUUAGAAAAAGAAAAAUUAAAUUUUGAAAAAAAAAUACAAUCGUUAGAAGUAGCAUUUCAAGAAUCUUAUAGUAAAACACAUGAAGAAAAAAAUAACUUAAAACUUGAGUUAAGCGAAUUAAAAAAAAUCAAUGAAGAUAUAAAAAAAAAUUCAAAAAAUCUUUUAAAUGUUAAUCAAAUGUUAGUUAACGAAAUUCAAUUAUAUAACACACAAAAAAAAAAUUUCAUUAAAGGAUUAAAAGAUAUUAAACAAGCAUACUUAAAAAUAAAAGAUGAAAAUGAACAGCUCAAAAAAAAUGCAUUCGAAUUUAUGAAAAAAGAGGUACAAGAAAAUUAUAUUCCUAUUAUUGUUCACAACAAUUUAUUAGAUGAAAAAAAUACCUGGAUCACUGAAAAAACAAUACUUACCACAAAAUCGAAAGAAAAUGAAUUAGUCAUCGCAAAUUUGAACAAAGAAAAAAUACAACUACAGGAACAAAUUAGUCAAAUCAAUAAACAAAAUGAAGAGUUAAAUACGAAUAUAAAGGUGAAUAGUAAAAUUACGGAGGAAUUUACGCUUAACGUGGAGGUAAGUCCCUUUCAAAAAAAAAAAAAAUAAAAUAAAAUAUAUAAAAAUAAAUAAAA